UACGUAGGGUGCGAGCGUUGUCCGGAAUUAUUGGGCGUAAAGAGCUCGUAGGCGGCCUGUCGCGUCGGAUGUGAAAGCCCGGGGCUCAACCCCGGGUCGGCCGUGCGAACUGUCGAGCUGGAGCACUGUAGAGGCAGGUGGAAUUCCGGGUGUAGCGGUGGAAUGCGUAGAGAUCCGGAAGAACACCGGUGGCGAAGGCGGCCUGCUGGGCAGUGGCUGACGCUGAGGCGCGACAGCGUGGGGAGCAAACAGG
rnacentral:rRNA from 1 species